GCGGGAGUAGCUCAGUUGGUAGAGCGUUGGCUUCCCAAGCCAAAGGCCGCGGGUUCGAGCCCCGUCUCCCGCU
rnacentral:tRNA from 1 species